UGGACUAGGUGACCUUUAAAGGUCCCUUCCAACCCAAACCAUUCUAUGAUUCUAUGAUACUAUGCUUACUACCACCUUUUUCAGUUGCUGCCUGAGGGUAUGCACAGCUCUGAGGCAGCGUGAGUGCCUUCUGGCAUCCUUCAGUCCAACACCCAGCACUGUGGCAUUCAGAGCACUCUGGAGAAGCCAUCAUAUCCUCCGAAUGAUACACGACUCCCAUUGAAGUCUACAAUUAACUCUUACUGAUUUCCACAAAGUCCCUUUACACAAAGUAAAAAGUUCUUUUUAUUUGAGUAAAAAGCAUGCUUCUGAAUAGUGCUGAUAAAAUGGAUUUUUCUUUUUAAAAUUACUUUUGUUUCUGAAAAUGGAUGACAAGGUGAAACUUUCAAGUAAUUUCUCAGGUUCAAUCCAAAAUGUUACAUUGCUCAGGAAGAAGGAGACUGAUGUAUGAAGGGAGGUAUUUCCUCUGAGCUGAGAUUUAAUUGUGUGAUGCUCUUUUAUGGAUUUUUGCCUUACUGAUAGAAAGCGGCAAACAGGGAGAGUAGAGAAGGAGUGACAUGAAGGUGGUUGUCUGCCUCAGCUGAGUUCAUUUUCUUGUCAGCUGAUCUUCUGAAUUUGCUCCCUUUGGCUAGAUAGGUAACAGCCUUGCUGGUUGCUCAGCAUUAACUUUGCUUUCCUUUCCUCUCCCCUUACCCUGCCCUGCUCUCCUCCCUCCAUUUCUACCCCAUCACAAGGAAUCUGGUAGAUUUAUCUAUUAGGCAGCAGCAGAUGAUUCAGCUGGAGAAGUCAAGGAAAAAACUGGGAAGAAAAAAUCAUUCUUUUCAAUAUGUAGCCCAUAGACAGAGAUCUCUCUGGUCAAGGAGCUGUGAAAUAAAAACCAGUUUCCUAUUGCUUAUUUCCUCCCAAGGUCAAGAAGGUGGACAGGGGAAAUUUGUGUAUUGACCAGAUUGGGAUCUGUUGUGCAGCAGAACGGGGACAUCAAACGCAAGCAGAUGAACUGUACUGUGAUAUAUUCCAGCUGAAAAUCCCUGUCAGAAAUGCCACCAAAAUCCUUUUCGCCUCGGACGAUAAUUUGCAGAAUGUUUAGAGGAUGCAGAGAAGUGAGGGGACGGCCUGAUUUGAGUUCCACACCACAGCUCCGAAUCUUCACACCCUUCUCAACUGCCAGGAGGACAGAACAAGGAGGAAGCACGUACCACUUUCUAGGAUACAAAUAAAAAGGACAUUAUAGGAUCUUUUUCACUGAAGCUCCCUCAACAGACAGGCCCCUGGAGCAGCUCUGCAAUCAGCUCCUGCAGUAGGUCCUACCGAAACUGCUGUCCCUCAGCCCUCCUUGUUGCUUUUUCUGGUACUGUGCUGUGCUG